rnacentral:misc_RNA from 1 species
AAGUCGUAACAAGGUUUCCGUAGGUGAACCUGCGGAAGGAUCAUUAUUGAACUAAGUCGGAUUCGAUGCUGGCCCUUAACCCGGGCAUGUGCUCGUCCUUCAUUUUUCUAACCUUCUUUAUGUGCACAUUUGUAUGCCCCUGAGUAACGAGCGCCUCUCGCAGCAAUGCGGUUUGCUUGGGACUGACGGCCUGGUCGUCUUUCCUGCAAUGCUCUCUGGGGGCUACGUUUUUAUAUACAAGUCAGUUAUAGAAUGUCUUUUAAUGACUGUUGCCUAGCGCAUGGUCUUAAACAAUUACAACUUUCAGCAACGGAUCUCUUGGCUCUCCCAUCGAUGAAGAACGCAGCGAAAUGCGAUAAGUAAUGUGAAUUGCAGAAUGCAGUGAAUCAUCGAAUCUUUGAACGCACCUUGCGCCCUUUGGUAUUCCGAAGGGCAUGCCUGUUUGAGUGUCAUUAAAUUAUCAACCUUGCUCGCUUUUACCGGCUUGAGCUGAGGCUUGGACGUGGGGGGUUUUUGCUGGCUUCCUUCAGUGGAUGGUCUGCUCCCCUUAAAUUCAUUAGCGGGAUCUCUUGUGGACCGUCACUUGGUGUGAUAAUUAUCUAUGCCGUUUGACCUUGAGGCAAAUUUAUGGGACCCUGCUUAUAACCGUCUCUUACCGGGACAAUUUAAUAACAUCUUGACCUCAAAUCAGGUAGGACUACCCGCUGAACUUAAGCAUAUCAAUAAGCGGAGGAAAAGAAACUAACAAGGAUUCCCCUAGUAACUGCGAGUGAAGCGGGAAAAGCUCAAAUUUAAAAUCUGGCGGUCCUUGUGGCCGUCCGAGUUGUAAUUUAGAGAA